rnacentral:lncRNA from 1 species
AGCGCGGGCGCGCGCCCGCGUCCGCGCACUGAGAGUCGCCUCGGCCGCUCGCUUUCUCGACUCCCGCCUCGCGCCUCGAUCCUGUUCCGCCUCCCUCGGCCCUCCUGCCCGCCCCCACUCGUCGGCCCUCAGCUCAGAGACCUAAUAGGAUGGGGUCUUAGAGAAACAUCUUUUGAGCCACAGACUUCUUUGUUACCAGAAGGAAAAUGAAAGAAGAAAUUUAAAUACCACUUGAAGAGAGAGAGUGUGAAGAAAUGACCCUGAAAAGCCUCUGGCAGAGGAUUCUUCUUUCAGGAUGGUGUCGCCUCCUCAGCAGCCCAUCCUCCUCCCCUGGACUCAAGCUCUCAUUCCAGUAACACUCCUUCCUCCUUCUCCAUCUUCAGGGGGAGGUUUGCCAGUCGGUGCUGCCCAGUUCAUGAGUGCUGCUGCUGUCCUGCCCAAGUACCCAGCUUGCAGAGUGCCAGAGUUAGAGUCCCAGGGGUGUUCUCCACAGCUGCAUGCUUGAUCCAGGCCUAUCAGUGAACCAGCAUCUUGCCCUUCAGACCCUACAGCACACUCUUGGGCUCAUGAAGUGUAUGACACAUCCUCCUUGGGGGAUCGGCCAUGUCCUCGCUCUCAUGACCACAUGAAUUCUUCUGUAUGUCUUUUCUCACAGCUGAGUACUCUCUUCCUGACCCCCUUGUGGAAUGGGGAAAGGAGGCUGUGACAUUGUGCUUGUGCAAACAAUAAUUGAGAGCUUUCCGAGUCUCCUGCAUCUUCAUAAAUGAUUUUUUGUUUUAUGCUGGGACAGUAGUUCUUUAAAUAGAAUAUUCUCCCAUGGAAAUCGCCCACAAUGCUGAGAGUACACCUUGCAAAAGGUAAGUCUAGAAUAUAGGGUGCCUCCUCAGCAUUGCCCAGAAGCUGAAGUUAGGACUCUCUAGAAUACCAAAAACAAAUUUAUAGCAGUUCAUUAAUGUAAGGAAUUAUGAAAACUGUGUGCCACCAUUAUCCAUAGAUGAAACAAGAGCCACCACGCAAGCACAGACACAAAGCCCUGAAGAUGAAGCCAUUGACAGGGCUCUCAUUUAUUCUGUAGAAACCCACUUGCCUGUUUUUGAACCAGUUUUCUUUGGAGCAUAUGUCUCACUGUGCAACCAAAGUGGUGUUUAUAUCCUAGUCACUUGGCAAAAAUUCUGUCAUUGCUUCAGGGAGAUCCAUUUUAGGCCUGAAGCAUGGAGCUGGUAAUAGAUGGGAUUUGGUACUUCUGAAGAAAAGACCCUACUGCAAAUUUAGAGAGUUAAUUUUUUCUUUUGUUCCCCAUAAUAUUGUUGCUAGAUAGAACUACCUUUUUUGACUAGAAGUUAAAUAUAGAGGCCUAAAUCAAUUAGGUAACUCCCACUCAUUCUAAAUGAGAACAUGUUUGUUUUUCUCCAACGAGAUGAGAAAUAUUUGAGGCGCUUCCUGAUAUCUCUAUCACCCACUGCAUUUUUUCACUUGAUGUAUAUUUCCCCAUGUAUUUGGGAUAAUUUUCAAAUAAUUGCCCUUUAGAAAUCUACUUGAUAUUAAAUGUAAAAAAAAAGCAAGAUGCAAAAUUAUUAUAGGAUGCAUUUACAGAAAUUACAAAAUUUCUAUAAACUAUUUAUGGAGGAAGACUUAUAGAGUAUAUGUCAACACAUUGCUUUAUUAUUGUCCUUGGUUAUGAGUAUGGUUUUUUUGAAACCUGCUUUGUACUUUGGGUGUUUUCUCACCAUUGGUACAAUUGAGGCAUUUUUCCCUCUUCUUCAACCUUGCAAAUCACACGUGAGGAUGCUCAUAGAAGUGCCUCUCAGACAGGCUGUUGUUUUGCUUUCACCAAUAAAUCAUUUAUAAUUAGAAGUAGAAAACUAUUCUUUCCAGUGCAAAUACAUCCCUUUCAAAAGCAGUUCUCUUUUUGUGAAUGAUGUCUAGUGUCUAAGAAACGAGGGUAACCUUUAUUAUAUGCAUUGCUCUAAUCGAAGCAUUGUUUUUUGCGGUGAACUCAAGGUUACAUGUUUAAGAAAAGCAUCGGGUUAAUUCCAUUAGGAAAAGUGUCUUAUUCAUAAACCUUUAGCCACUGGAAAAACACCAUUAGGAGGCCACACAAGUGUGUAUAGCUGGAUAGAAUUUGACAACUGGCAAAACAAAACAAUAGCCUACAAUUGCAGAGUGCUGUCUGUUUAAAAACCAACAUAUCUUUCACCAACAAAUACAUAUUCACCUCAACACGAGACUUUCAUGUGGUUAUUAAUAUCAAAUUUUUGAAUGUCCAAAUUUUGGAGUGUAGUCUAGCAGAGGUAAACUGAUUUGCCUAAGGUCCUUCAACUGUCAGAGGUAGAAUUAUUUUCUCUCUCCUGGCUCUAAAACCUGUCCAGAUUCUCCUGCAACACUGUCCUUCAAAAACACACUUCCGCUGACUCCAGUGCUGGUGAUGUCAUGCUUUAGCUAGUAGUUAGAGGUGACUUAACUUUAAAUAUGGAAUCUUUUUUUCCUAUUAAGCAAUGAGGUUUAGUUUGAAAAUUCUUAGAGAUGAUAAACCCCUCUCCUUUUUUUCUUCCUUCUCCUCUUUUGUCCUGAACAAUGUUCCAUAUAUAUUACUGCCAGAAACAGAUUCUUGACAUUCCUGUUAUGCUUUUCCACAUCUUGUAAUCAUUUCUACAGCUGUUAGCAUUGCCAACAAUUAUAUUUCCACUUUUAAAAAAUUGUUACAAAGAUGCAGAGAGAAAAGAGGAAAGCCAAGGAAUAAACUACAGGCAAUUAUGGGAUAUUUUUGUGAUGUGACAUUUUGGGAACUGAGGCAGCAUCACUGAUACUGCACUACUUUUUAAUAUCUAGAUUUUAAUCUUUUGUAUGAAGAUAAAAUUCACAUGCCUUAAACCUGACCACAACAUAAUAGGGCAUUUAUUUUUCUAAUUUUGAUACCAUCCACAUUUCUUAACUAUAAGAAGAAUGCUUAUGUUGUACCAGGUUAUAUGAUGUUGCCAAGAAGUAGAUGUGUACCAUUUACUAAUACAUCCUUUUGGAAAAUGCGUAUUAAUAACAUAUUAAGGAGUAAAUUGACGUUGUGCAAAGUGAGCCUGUGAGUUUAAAUGUAUGGAUUGUACACCUUGCUCUUCCUAAUUGCAGAUUUAACAGGAUUUGAUGACCUAAUGAGUUUAUUUCUGAAUGAUUUAUAUUUCUUUGUCAGUUCAAUGAUUUAGUAUUUUAAAUUUUUUUAAAUCACAUUUUAUUGAGAUAAUGCUAUUAGUGUUUCUUUCCCAUCACUUAACAAAGUUAAGUCACUCCUCUCCCACCCCACUUUUGUACCUACCAAUGUUUUUUUCACAGUUACAGGCUGAUUGGCUUGACGUGUCUUAGGAUACCACCCAAAGAGAGCUUCAUUUUAUAAAUACCAAGCUCAUUUUCCUAAAUAUUUUCAAAAAGAUAGAUUUAUCCUCAUAUAGUAAAUUCAGAUUAAUAAUUUUGGAAAGGGUCAUGUGACCAUGGUAUUACAUGGCUGUGGAAGACCCUCCAAGAUCUUGUUUUGGGAUAGAAGGACUCAGACAUCCAAACUUUUAAAUUAAUGAACUUAUUAAAUUCUAAAACUUUGUAACAGUGUUAAUUUGAGAAG